rnacentral:rRNA from 1 species
GAUCCAGACUCCUACGGGAGGCAGCAGUGGGGGAUAUUGCACAAUGGGGGAAACCCUGAUGCAGCGACGCCGCGUGGGCGAAGAAGUAUUUCGGUAUGUAAAGCCCUAUCAGCAGGGAAGAAGAAAUGACGGUACCUGAGUAAGAAGCACCGGCUAAAUACGUGCCAGCAGCCGCGGUAAUACGUAUGGUGCAAGCGUUAUCCGGAUUUACUGGGUGUAAAGGUAGCGCAGGCGGCACGGCAAGCCUGAUGUGAAAGCCCGGGGCCCAACCCCGGGACUGCCCUUGGAACUGCAUGGCUGGAGUGCGGGAGGGGCAGGCGGAAUUCCUGGUGUAGCGGUGAAAUGCGUAGAUAUCAGGAGGAACACCGGCGGCGAAGGCGGCCUGCUGGACUGCGACUGACGUUGAGGCUCGAAAGCGUGGGGAGCGACCAGGAUUAGAUCCCCGAGUAAC